ACCCUGGUGAAAAACAAAUAUACUUUAUUGUAUUUCAAGUAUAUUUAACUUUGCAAUAGUACAUUACAAAUAUACUUACAAAGGAAUGUACUUUCUUUAAACAUAUUUAAAGUAUGCUUACAACAUAUUUGCGCGUAUUUUUUACAAUUAAACUUUAAACAUACUUCAAAAUAAUUAUACUUUAGUAUAUUUUCUAAAAGUAUACUUUAGAAAAAUAUACUUAAAGUUAAAGUUUUGUGCAAUUUUUAAAGUAUACUAAAUUUAAACUUAUUUUAAAAUGUAUUUUAGGUAUACUUUAUCGGUAUGCUUUAAGUUAUCAUUAUAAUAAUGCACUGACAGUAUAUUUCUAAAAUACAUUAUUUAGUAUUCUUUAGAAACAGUAUAUUUUAAGCACAUUUUGAAAGUAUAUGGGGUGUACAAGUAUAUUAUUUUAUGGAGAAAUAACGUGGGCUUAAAAUUACGAGAGAGCAGUAUGUUCUGUUACAUUUUAUAUUGUAGAUGUAUACAUUUGUAAUAUACUAUUAACAUAAUAAGGUACACUUUAACUUCACUAUAGUCAAGCAUUGGAUAAACCAAUGAACUGUGUUUUACCACAAAAUGACCAUGGUUUUGCUAAUAAUAAUCAAUACACCAAAAAAAAAAAAACAUGGUUACUAAACUUUUGCCACAAAAAAACAUUCAUUUUCGUAAGGGGAAUAUGAGUGUUUGUUUUUUUGUAGUUUUUGAGUCAAUUGCAUACCGCUUUUAGCUGUACACAUUAAUUAACUUAAACAGUUUUCGUAAAUGCAUUUCAGAGAAAAGUGAAUUCUGAGAUUUGAAUAAUGCAUCUGACGUGUGGGAUGACGUCACGACGCACGUAUUUUGAUUUUUACCAGUCGCUCAAGACAGACGGAUUCAGUCCCAAGAAGCUAAAGUUUUUCAAAGUCAUUUGUAGGGAGGACUUUGCAGCUAAUGAUUUCCUAAGCCUGAACCAAAACCUGCCAGACUAAAGUUGAUUUGGGAGAGAAAGACGUUGUAAACUUAAUCAUCUUGACAUUCUUCAAUGAGUAAUUGUUCAAUUUUUAGGCAAAUACUGUACACUUUGAAUGCUGUGAAUAAAACUAUAUUUUAAAUAUAUUUAAAA